rnacentral:rRNA from 1 species
AUCAUUACUGGAGUAUCACAACUCCAAACCCCAUGUGAAUCAUACCUAUGUUGCCUCGGCGGGGGAAAGCUGCCCCUACCCCGGGACCUACCCGGGAAGACGGUUUCCUACCCCGCCGGUGGAUCUUCAGACUCUGUUUUUUAGUGGCACUUCUGAGUAUACUAUAAAAAUAAGUCAAAACUUUCAACAACGGAUCUCUUGGUUCUGGCAUCGAUGAAGAACGCAGCGAAAUGCGAUAAGUAAUGUGAAUUGCAGAAUUCAGUGAAUCAUCGAAUCUUUGAACGCACAUUGCGCCCACUAGUAUUCUGGUGGGCAUGCCUGUUCGAGCGUCAUUACAACCCUUACGCCUCUGUUGCGUAGCGUUGGGAGUCCCUGUACCGCCUCUGCGCGGUACACUCCCCAAAGUCAGUGGCAGAGUCACGGCACACUCUGAGCGUAGUAAUUAUUAUCUCGCUUCUGCUGGUGCCAUGGCGAUCGCCAUAAGCCUUCUAUAUUCUAGUGGUGACC